GGGACGAGUGGAGACGAGGGCAUCGCGGGUCGAGGCUGGCGGAAGGUUUAUUCCUGCGGCGGGGCUGUGUGCCGUGCCGAGCCGCCCGGCCCUCCCCCGCCGCCUGCAGCGUGGCCGGCGGCGCGUCCUGCCGCGGGCGGGUGCGUCCCCGAUCUGUCAUUAUCUAUUUAAUUUUUCUUCUUCCUAGGAAGAGCGUCAGCGCUGUGUUUUCGUUCUCGCUGCCGCGGCGCAGCCCGCCUCCCCGUGCCGGUAGCUGGUGUCCUCCCCGUUCAGACCCCUUGCCUCAAACCCGCCCCUCCGCCCGGGUCAAAGCCACACCGCUGCGGCUUCUGUCUCGUUCUGUCACCCCCGUGUGGCACAGGGGUGCUCCCUGUGGCACCCCUGUGCCUGUCUCCUUCUGCUUUCAUAGAAUGGUUUGGGUUGGAAGGGACCUUAAAGAUCAUCCAGUUCCAACCCUCUGCCAUGGGCAGGGACACUUCCCACCAGCUCAGGCUGCCCAAGGCCCCAUCUAACCUGGCCUUGAACACCUCCAGGGAUUGGGCAACCGCAGCUUCCCUGGGCAACCUGUGACAGUGUCUCACCACUCUCAUGGUACUGGAAGGUCUCUAUAAAGUCUCCUCGGAGCCUUGCUGAAUAAGCCAAACUCUCUCAGCCUGUCCUCUUAUGGAGGGUGCUUGAGCACUCUGAUCGUCCUUGUAGCCCUCCUCUGGACCCAUUCCAACAGUUCCAUACCCUUCUUAUGUUAAGGAUUCCAGAACUGGACACAAUACUCCAGAGGAGUCUGGUGGGACUAACGUCACAGUUAUUGGAAACUCCAUGUCUGCCUCCAACAACUGUUCUCGCCGUGUGGAAAACUGAGCAGCCUUUGCAGAAUUUGGACCUGUGUCGCACAGCAGGGUGCGGGAGCAGAUGUAUGGGGGAAGAAACCUGUCAAUCCCACCAUGCCGUGCUACACUCACUCACCAAGUGACACAAGAGAGGAGGAGCUGUGUUGCUCUGCAGUCCUGCCCUCAUCAUCACCACAACUGAAUACAGUGGGCCUCCUGGCAUCAAUAGAAAUACAUACCAUCUGAUCCUCCGU